AACGCACCUUGCGCUUCUUGGUAUUCCGAGGAGCAUGCCUGUUUGAGUGUCAUUAAAUUCUCAAUCCCUUCUGGUACUUUGUAUGCUAGUCGCGGCUUGGAUAUUGGGGGUUUCUGCAGGUCCUCAUUAUGUUGAGAUCAGCUCCCCUUAAAUUCAUUAGCAGAACUGUUUGCAGUCUGUCACUGGUGUGAUAAUUAUCUGCACCAAGGCUGCUUUCUGUGUUGUUCAGCUUCUAAUUGUCUUUUCUAGACAACGAAUUGACUACUUGACCUCAAAUCAGGUAGGACUACCCGCUGAACUUAA
rnacentral:misc_RNA from 1 species